GAUGAACGCUGGCGGCGUGCUUAACACAUGCAAGUCGAACGAGAAAUGAUAUUUUGAUCUCUUCGGAGUGACGGUUUCAUUUCGAGUGGCGGACGGGUGAGUAACGCGUGAGCAACCUGCCCUGUACCGGGGGAUACCAGUUGGAAACGACUGUUAAUACCGCAUAAGCGCACGAUAAGACAUCUUGUUGUGUGAAAAACUCCGGUGGUAUAGGAUGGGCUCGCGUAUGAUUAGCCAGUUGGCGGGGUAAAGGCCCACCAAAGCGACGAUCAUUAGCCGACCUGAGAGGGCGACCGGCCACAUUGGGACUGAGACACGGCCCAAACUCCUACGGGAGGCAGCAGUGGGGAAUAUUGCAUAAUGGGCGAAAGCGUGAUGCAGCGACGCCGCGUGAGUGAGGAAGUAUUUCGGUAUGUAAAGCUCUAUCAGCAGGGAAGAAAGAAAGACGGU
rnacentral:rRNA from 1 species